UGGGCUGGAAGACACGAGACAAGGCCCCCAAAUCCUGAGGACAACUCUGUCCAGCACAAAGUCUCUGUCACGUCACCAUGUGACUCAGGGAGGAAUGGCUGAGCCAGAAAAGAGGGGGAAGUGCAUGAUACAGGUGAGUGAGGGGCCAUGUGUGCCCACAUGGAGGGGGAGCCUAAGACAGGAAGACCUUUCCCCCAUCACUGCUUAGAAGUGCUUUCUAGAUUAUGGUUUUUCCAAGUUACAUGACAUUUCAAGCUAUUUCAGUGGGAGAAUUUGUCCAUACAAUCCAGCCCACAUGC